rnacentral:rRNA from 1 species
AUUGAACGCUGGCGGCAUGCUUUACACAUGCAAGUCGAACGGCAGCGCGGGCUUCGGCCUGGCGGCGAGUGGCGAACGGGUGUGUAAUGCAUCGGAACGUGCCCAGUAGUGGGGGAUAGCCCGGCGAAAGCCGGAUUAAUACCGCAUACGACCUGAGGGUGAAAGCGGGGGACCGAAAGGCCUCGCGCUAUUGGAGCGGCCGAUGUCGGACUAGCUAGCUGGUGGGGUAAAGGCUUACCAAGCCGACGAUCCGUAGCUGGUCUGAGAGGACGACAAGCCACACUGGGACUGAGACACGGCCCAGACUCCUACGGGAGGCAGCAGUGGGGAAUUUUGGACAAUGGGGGCAACCCUGAUCCAGCCAUGCCGCGUGCGGGAAAAAGGCCUUCGGGUUGUAAACCGCUUUUGUUCGGGAAGAAAUCCUCUGGGCUAAUACCCCGGGGGGAUGACGGUACCGGAAGAAUAAGCACCGGCUAACUACGUG